rnacentral:tRNA from 1 species
GGAGGUUUGGCAGAGUGGUCGAAUGCACCGGUCUUGAAAACCGACGGGCGUCAAAAGCGUCCCCAGGGUUCGAAUCCCUGAGCCUCCG